rnacentral:ncRNA from 1 species
CUACGAAAAUGGCAAACUCAUUGAAAAAUGGGGACGCAAAGCCUAUGGGUCUAAGGUAUUUAACUACGAUAGCCAGGUUACCGAA